GUCUACGGCUGUACCACCCUGAACACGUCUGAUCCAUCUGAUCUCAGAAGCUAAGCAGGGUCAGGCCUGGUUAGUACUGGGAUGGGAGACUAGCAUGAUUUAAAUGGUGCUUUAGAAA
rnacentral:rRNA from 1 species